AGGGGCCUGGCCAGGGAGGCCAGGGGAAGGCUCCCAAGAAGGACCAGGCCAGUGAGGGCAGAGCCGAGCCCCUUGUGCUGAGGGUCAGUGACAGCGACCUCACACCAUCUGAGUCUUUCUGAGAUCCAAACUUGGUUACUCUCCUUCCCUUCCUCAUUCGGACCAGAUGAUUGCGUUUUACAAAUUAUAUUUUCAAUUCUCUGCAGGGUGGCCUUAAUCCAGGUCUCCAUCUCUCUCUUGGAUUCCUGCCACAGCUGGAGACAGUCAUGGAGGUGCUAAAGUGUCGACUCACUGAUUCCCUACUUAGUGCACUCCUCCAAGCCCCAGGGCUUCCAAUACCAACAUAUGGAUAUAUGUUGGUGACUUCCAGCCCCACGUCCAUCUCAGAUAGCCCAGCGGCCCCCAAUCCUCCUGCUUCCUAUGUAAGUGGCAGUCCCCUGCCGCUCAAGCCAACAUGAUGGGCCUUUUUUUUGGAGCUAGUCUCCACCUUCCCCUCAUCUCAUACUGACUUGAUCUUGACAACUCAUCUCAAUCUGGCUGCUCCUCUCCAUGUACCCAUUCCCCUUGGGGUGCAAGCCACACCACCCUUCACUUGGGGGAUGAUAGCAGCCAGUGGGCCCACAUCUGGCUGUGCCCCUCAUCUGUUAAAUAAUCUCACAGGCUCUUCCAGCCAUGCUGAGAAGGCCCAUCACUGACUCGUGCCUCUGGACCUUGGCACCUGCCAGAAAUGGUAGUCCCACUCCCCCUGCCAGUGAUUGGCUUAGGAAUGGCCACGGGACCCAGUUCCAACCAGGAAGAGGAAGUGGGACGAGCAGAAUGAUCCUCCUUUAGAAUCGGUUGUAUCUAAUUGGGAUGCAGAUGCCCGAAACUCUGCAGUUUAGGAAACACUAGGGCCCUCUCUGUGAAACAUUGAGAUGUCCAAGUGGAAAGAGAACAAAUCCUGUAUUCGAAGAAACGGUGGACCGAGGCUCGCCCCGGCGGACCUGGACCUGCGUGCCUCUGCCUUCUCAUGUGAACUGAUGUCUCUUGCUUGAACUCACUUGAGUAAAGGUUUUGUGCCACUUGUAGCACGUGCAGAUGUAACCAUCAACACGGAACUCCUACUUCCUGGAGACUGUGGGGGAUUUGAACUUACUGUAGGUUCACGGAGUGACAAAGCUGUUUCUAGGGCCGAUGCAGCCGUGAGCCAUGUGAAUAGGAUCACGGGGUCUGAGCUGGGGGAGGUGAGGGUUCUGUGCUCUCCCGUACUGGUCAGACUCCACCUGGAGAGGCUAUGGUCAGUCCAGGGUGAAUAUGCCAGGAGGGAGGUUGACCCGCCAGGUCCACCUGCUGAGAAUGAUAGCAAUUAGAAGGGUUGGGAAUCCCUGCCACGCAAGGGAUGAGUGAGAAAAUGGGGCUUUUUCUCCUGGCAAAGAGAAGGUUGGCUGUGGGACUUCACUUCGGCUUCAGAUGCGUGCAGGGUGAUGUGUGGAGGGGGUGGCCACGCUCGUGCUGCUGACCAAGAGGAAGUCAAAGACAGUACAGAGUUUGUCAACAAUUGAGGGCAAAUUCAGACUUCAGUGGGUAUCAUUCUCACCCAGGGAAGUUGGUAAAAACAGAAGGGCCCAGGCCCUGUCUUUCAAUAAGCCUGGACUCCAAGUUGUUAGCACUCUAGGGGGUUCUAGGGCACCGCAACAUUUUUGCAAUGCCUGACUCAAGGGAAGGAAGCCAACAUUUGUGAGGCAUUUAACGUGAGCCACGUGUUGAGCUGGACCCAUCCCUGUGGCUCCCAUUUGAUUUUGACACAGAUUCUUAGAGCCAAGCACUGCUACAGAUGGUUUUGGGAAGUGUAGUGAGUUCCCCAUAAGAAGUGUGGCUAAAAAUCAGUAAGAAAAGGAUGAUCAGUGUGAGAGGAAAAGGAGAGUAGGAAAAGAGAAUUCUUAGAUGAAGCCAUAAAAAUGGCGAAGAAACCUAUGCAAAGAUACUCCUCUGUUGUGGCAGAGAUCACAAGCUGUUCUCCAGUAUCCACCUUCCCUUCUUCCACAGGAGCAAAACCCUUGAUUUUCAGCCAGGCAUGUGGUCUAUUAUUAAGACAUUCCCCAACCUCCCGUCUAGCAUGAGGCCCCGUACUCAAGUUCUGGUCAGUGAGAAGUAGCAGAUUCCAGGAACCGUCCCAAAAAGGCAGCUGACAGGUGUUCCUUAUUUCCUUUUUCUUUAUCUUUUUCUUGUGGCUGGAAUACGAGACAUAAUGGUUGGGGCUCCAGCAGCCUUAUAGGGCAGUGAGGAGACCUUGGGGACAGAGAGCCCACAUAGCAAAGUAAUAAGAGGAGGGGUCUGCGUGACCAAAACCAUGGAGUAGAGCUGACAUGCCAGCUCUAGACUGCCGUCCUCCUGAUUUUACUUAAGCAAUAAAUGUCUGGCUGGAGUCUCUGUUAUUUGUUCCUCUGCCUAUUCCUCGCUGAUAACAACAGAGAAAUACAAAACAAGACAAUGAACUUUCCAAACUCCUGAUCACUUUUCACUCACGAGAUUGGCAGAAACCUAAAAAGACGAUGAUAUUGUUAGAGACAGUGUAGUGCUGUGGUUCACAUCCCUCCUGCUCUGGACUUACCAGCUGUGGGAACAUGCACAAAGUGUGUAAUCCUCUGUGCCUCAGUUUCCUCACCUAAAAAAUGAGUGUCAAACCCAGUACUACCCCACAGAGUCAUUGUGAGGGAUCAGUGUUUAGAACAGUGCCCCAUACAGAGCACACAUAAGUGUCUGCCAUGACUAUUACUAUUUAGCUGGCGUACCUGAGGUGGGUGCGCAGGUGUAGAGGAAAGACGUUCACGCCUGGCCAGGAGUGUGAAACGUAGACAGCCAUUUCAGAGGGCUCUUGAUGUUUCAAAACUUUCAAACUACAUACAAGACUCCCCCCAAGGUGCCCCCUCUAACCCUGAAAUUCCACCUCUAGGACCCUGAAUCCCUUGGGGUCAAACGUGUUUCAGAUUUUCGGAAGGUAACUUGGCGCAUAUGCCCCAUCCUGUGUUACUCUUCCCCGGGGUCUGGGGCUGCCCCAUGCUGUAGACCCUCUGGGGUGUUCAGCCCACCUUAAGUGCACCUGGGGAAUUCUGGGGAGUGAAGGCACUUCGGGUAACCCUCAGCUGGUAGAGCCCAGGGGCAGGUGGGUAAGUGCCCAGCAGCCUCUAGUCCUUCAGAGAAGCACCCCACAUUGCUCAGGAGGUCCUAGAGAAGUCGACCGCCCCCUCCUGCAGUGCCCUCUGCAGUGACCUCCGUAAUGACCCUUGUAUUAUCUUCGCCCAACCCCCGUCUCACUCUCCCCGAUUGCUUCCUCCUGGAUUCUGGUGUCACCUUCCAAAAAAACACCUGCACUCAAGUCCUGUCUCAGGCUUUGCUUUUGGGGAACUCAGCCCAAGACAACCCCCUGAUGAAACACAUUAUUUCUUCAGCAAGCUGCACAUAUAUCACAGCAAGUGGGAGAAACAAAAGACGCUGAACACUCUCACGUCAAUUUGGGUCAGGUUUGCUGGCAAAUAGGUAGAAGAAAAGACGUAUGGUUCUGGGAGCAUUUGGGUUUCAUGGCUGUGGAUAUGGGACUGGACUGCACUCUGCGGAGCACAAAGGCACCCUCUCUUGCUGAGUUCACUCGGUGUGAGUGGAGAGGCUCCCCCGGCCAUGGACUGCACUCAGAAGGCCUGAGACAACAGCAGUCACCAGGAGUUGGGCCCUCCAGGAGCUGACACUCGAGUGUAGAAGAUGUCUGCUGGGGCUUCUGGCAACACUUGGGAAGGGGAGCCCUUGGGUGGGGAGACAAGGCCACAAUCGAUAGGUGCUCAGGGAUGGCCCCGCUGCAGAGGUGAGGUCUGAGAAGGGACUUGACAAUGAGAGGAAGCCUAGGACGCCAGCACCACCUCCACCUCGCCACGACGGCAGGUGCUCCUGAUGGGUCUCAGGGCGAGCGCACCCUCUGCCAGUGACAGGUCAGGUGUGGGCUAUGACCAGUCUCAGCCAAUGAGACAUCAGGGAGGGCCCGCAGGUGGCCUUGGGCCCGGCCAGCCUGGAUGCUGAGGCUGACCUACGAGGCUGACUUGAGGUGGGGAAGAGCAGAACAGGCAAACGGCCAGUGCUCACCCUGCUCCCUGCCAGGCAGCACUGUGGAUGGGCUUGUGGCCCACGUGAGACUGAGCAGCGAUUUCUGUCACUUGCGGCAGAAAACCUCCCACUGGCUAGCAAGCACCUUGUCCAUCCCAAGGGACAGACUGACAGGCUAUGGCUUGUCCCCAUCAUGGAACACAGCAGAGCGCCGAAAACAAAGAGGGGGUAUCCUCCCGUCCUGAAAAGGAACCAGCGACGAGAGAUGUCAUCUGUUCUCAACCAGGGGUAAUUUUGCUCCCUAGGUAGGUUGCCAGGUUAAGGAAAUAAAAAUGCAGGGCAGCCAGUUCAAGCUGAAUGUCAGACAGUGCAUAUUAACUAGAUGUCCUGUGUUUACUGUGGCAACCUUACCCCCAGGGGACAUUUGGCAAUGUCUGGAGGCAGUUUUGGUUGUCACUGGGGAUGGUUAGGUGCUACCAGCAUCUGGUGGGAAGGCACCGGGGAUGCUGUUACACAUUUCACAAUGCAUACGACAGCUGAGGCCAAAAAAAAAAAAAAAAAAAAAAAAAUUAUCCAGCCUAAAAUGUCAGUUGUAACAAGGGUGAGAACCCCUGUAUUAAAUGAAAGAUAGCAAAAACCCCAUAAGAACCCCAUAAGAUAUGGUAGGAUCUCAUUUGUACGUCCUGUAUUUACUCUGGCAACCCUACCCCCAGGGGACGUUUGGCAAUGUCUGGGGUUGUUACUGCGGAUGGGGUUGUGUGUGUGUGUUUCUUUUUUUCUUUUUACACACCCAACUAAGCCAUAGAGUCGCAUAGAAAAAGGUAUGGAAGGUCACAUACCUAAGUCAUGUGGGGUAGGGAGUGGUCAUUCCUUUUACUCUAAAUACCUUCUGCAGUGUUUUAUUAUUUGUGAAGUUAAUUAUAAUUGAAGUGAAUAUAUACGUGCAUACACACACACAGAAAGCAUGCCUAUCAAAACAAUAGAUAUUUCACAAAGUGAACGCACACAUGGCAUGGCCUCCUGAUGAAGAUGAAGAACAUGGCCACUGCUCCAUGAGGCCCUUUGCAGCCCUGCCAGCCUCUCCCUCGAGGGCUGCGAGGGGAACUGCUGUCCUGACUUCCAACCUGCUUUGGGCUCCACAUGAACCGAAUUCUGCCCGACGUCCUCGCUUGAGACUGGCGUCUUUCCCUCAGCAACGUGUCAUGAUUCAUUCAUGUGGAUCGGAGCAGCGGUUGGAUCAUUUUCAUUGCUGUGAAAUACACCACAAUGGAUUUAUGCAUUCAACCGUUGAUGGACAUUUGGGUCGUUUCCCGUUUGGCAAGAUGAUGAAGAAAGCUGGUAUGAGCAUUCUUUCACACGUCUUUUCUUGGGCAUAUGUACUCACUCCUGUUGAGUGUAAACCUAGGAAUGAAUCGCUCAGUCAUAGGGCAAAUGUGUGUUCCUCUUUCCUAGAUACCAUUCGAGUUUCCAAAGUGCUUGCACGGGUUUACGCUGCCAUCCACCAGAGAUGAAAGUUCCGCCUGGGCUGCUGCCUCCUGGCCAAGCCUGGCUGGGUUGUAGCUUUUGCGCUUUAGUCCCUCUGGUGGGUGUGUAAAUUGCUAAUCACUGUGAUUUUAAUUUGCAUUUCCCUGAUGAUGAAGCUGAGCACUUUUUCAUAACUUUAUGGGCCAUUUGAUUGUCCUCUUUUGUGAAAUGUCUAUUCGGGCCAUUGGUCCAUUUUUCCAUGAGGUUAUCUCCAUUUCUCUCAUUGAUUUGUAAUUAAGAGUCCUGUUGCAAAUCUCUUUUCCCGCCGUGCGGCUUCUUGCCUUUUCCUUUGCUUACAAUGCUCCAUGCUGUCCUGGACCCUAGCAUCACCCAGGCCUAGGUAAUAGAAGGGUGGCUUUUGUAAAGCGACUCAAGGCUGAGAAGGGAACAGACACUCUUAGCACAAUAAGCUACAGGCUGAAAAACAGCCGGAGGUGAAUGCAGCGUGAAUGGUCUGGCUGUCUUUUAUAAAAGUAACUCGAUUGGACUAGACCCCAUGAGGGCCUCUGCUCCUCCGCUCCCCUUUCCCUGAGGACCUAAUUCCCCACUGGGUCAGCCACAGAACCAGAUAGAGCUGGGGACUCACGACCCAUGCUGAAGACUGGAUGCAAGAGGAGGAAGGACUUUGGUGGAGAGAAGGAAUCAAAAGGAACCAAGAAUGUGAGACAAGAGGACUUGCUGGUGGGGUCCCCUGCUGUGUCCCCAGAGUCCCAGCAUGUGCCUGACACACAGCAGGUGCCUGAUUGAUAGUGACGGUUCCCCAAAGGCUGCUGGAGUCACCUCUGGGAUUCUGCACAGGCUCCACACUCUGGGGAGGUGUGCUUGGUAGAGGACAAGAAGGCUGCUUGUUGGGGUUACCUUAGUACCUGGGUGAAGAGUAAAAAGUAAUUAAUAAUAGCGAAAGAAAACGAUUGAGUUGGGUGAACCAUCGGCGUCCUUGAACCUUGUGGACUUAUGGCACCCAUAGGGUAGGGCAUGGGGUCUGGGAGUGAGGAGCGUGUACCUUUCACUUCCAGAGAGGCACCUUCUUGGGCUACCUAGGAUGAGGCCAGGUGGUGCUGGUGGCCAGGACGUAGGUUACCUGAAUGCCCACCAGUCCUGGGUGGCUGCCAGCUCCGAGUUGGGCAGCCCAGUCUACUCGGGGGCCAGGCAGGCGCAAAGAUGAGUGAGGCAGCUCCCGCAACACAACAGGAAGGAGAGAAUCUGCUAGAAACUGGAAUGCUA
rnacentral:lncRNA from 1 species